rnacentral:lncRNA from 1 species
GAUACCUUGAAUGUCAGGCAGGAAACCAACCAUCCACCACCAGAAGAAACAACAAUGAAAAAAGAAUUAGAUAGAGAAGAGGGACAAAAGCAGUGCUCUAUGGAGGGAAAACACCAAAAGGUUGGUAGGUGAGAUGAGGAAGUAAUCAUGGUCAUUGGUGCUGUUGUUCACUUGCUGAGGUGCCAAGGACACCCAUCUGUCAAGACAAUGUGUAGGAUGCUGAU